rnacentral:rRNA from 1 species
GAUGAACGCUAGCGGCAGGCCUAAUACAUGCAAGCUGAACGGUAAAUGUUAUAGCAAUAUAAUAUGAGAGUAGCGUAAGGGUGCGUAACACGUAUGCAAUCUACCCGCAACAGGAGGAUAGCUCCCCGAAAGGGGAAUUAAUACUCCAUAAGAUCACGAGAGGGCAUCUGAUUGUGAUUAAACUCCAAGGGGUUGCGGAUGAGCAUGCGUCUGAUUAGUUAGUUGGUGAGGUAACGGCUCACCAAGACGAUGAUCAGUAGGGGAACUGAGAGGUUGAACCCCCACACUGGCACUGAGAUACGGGCCAGACUACUACGGGAGGCAGCAGUAGGGAAUAUUGGUCAAUGGGUGAGAGCCUGAACCAGACAUGCCGCGUGCAGGAAGACGGCCUUCUGGGUUGUAAACUGCUUUUAUCUGGGGAUAAAAUAUCCUUGCGAGGAGAAUUGAAGGUACCAGAGGAAUAAGCCACGGCUAACUACGUGCCAGCCGCCGCCGUAACAC